CCUACGGGAGGCAGCAGUGAGGAAUAUUGGUCAAUGGGCGGGAGCCUGAACCAGCCAAGUCGCGUGAGGGAUGACGGCCCUAUGGGUUGUAAACCUCUUUUGUCGGGGAGUAAAGUGCCGCACGUGUGCGGUUUUGAGAGUACCCUAUGAAAAAGCAUCGGCUAACUCCGUGCCAGCAGCCGCGGUAAUACGGAGGAUGCGAGCGUUAUCCGGAUUUAUUGGGUUUAAAGGGUGCGUAGGCGGAAGCUUAAGUCGGCGGUAAAAUUGCGGGGCUCAACCUCGUCGAGCCGUUGAUACUGGGUGCCGUGAGUGGGCGAGAAGUACGCGGAAUGCGUGGUGUAGCGGUGAAAUGCAUAGAUAUCACGCAGAACUCCGAUUGCGAAGGCAGCGUACCGGAGCGCAACUGACGCUGAUGCACGAAGGUGUGGGUAUCGAACAGGAUUAGAUACCCGGGUAGUC
rnacentral:rRNA from 1 species